UNUGACUUGAGUGCAGAAGGGGAGAGUGGAAUUCCAUGUGUAGCGGUGAAAUGCGUAGAUAUAUGGAGGAACACCAGUGGCGAAAGCGGCUCUCUGGUCUAUCACUGACGCUGAGGCUNGAAAGCGUGGGUAGCGAACAGGAUUAGAUACCCUGGUAGUNCACGCCGUAAACGAUGAGUGCUAGGUGUUAGGCCCUUUCCGGGGCUUGGUGCCGGAGCUAACGCAAUAAGCACUCCGCCUGGGGAGUACGACCGCAAGGUUGAAACUCAAAGGAAUUGACGGGGGCCCGCACAAGCGGUGGAGCAUGUGGUUUAAUUCGAAGCAACGCGAAGAACCUUACCAGGUCUUGACAUCCCGAUGCUAUUCUUAGAGAUAGGAAGUUACUUCGGUACAUCGGAGACAGGUGGUGCAUGGUUGUCGUCAGCUCGUGUCGUGAGAUGUUGGGUUAAGUCCCGCAACGAGCGCAACCCUUAUUGUUAGUCGCCAUCAUUAAGUUGGGCACUCUAGCGAGACUGCCGGUAAUAAACCGGAGGAAGGUGGGGAUGACGUCAAAUCAUCAUGCCCCUUAUGACCUGGGCUACACACGUGCUACAAUGGUCGGUACAACGAGUUGCGAGCCGGUGACGGCAAGCUAAUCUCUGAAAGCCGAUCUCAGUUCGGAUUGGAGGCUGCAACUCGCCUCCAUGAAGUCGGAAUCGCUAGUAGUCGCGGAUCAGCACGCCGCGGUGAAUACGUUCCCGGGCCUUGUACACACCGCCCGUCACACCACGAGAGUUUGUAACACCCGAAGUCGGUGAGGUAACCUUUUAGGGGCCAGCCGCCUA
rnacentral:rRNA from 1 species